rnacentral:rRNA from 1 species
UACGUAGGGUGCAAGCGUUAAUCGGAAUUACUGGGAGUAAAGCGUGCGCAGGCGGUUUGGUAAGACAGAUGUGAAAUCCCCGGGCUUAACCUGGGAAUUGCAUUUGUGACUGCCCGGCUAGAGUGUGUCAGAGGGGGGUAGAAUUCCACGUGUAGCAGUGAAAUGCGUAGAGAUGUGGAGGAAUACCGAUGGCGAAGGCAGCCCCCUGGGAUAACACUGACGCUCAUGCACGAAAGCGUGGGGAGCAAACAGG